AUGGGCUAACGGGAAACAGGAUCCGUAGAUUGACGCCCCCUACUGUGAAGCAACUGCAUCAGACCUGAUGCUGCCUUCAUGUGCUCCUGGUGCACUCUCGUCCGCUCGAAAUCCUUCUUGGCACCCAUUCAAGGUGGCGGGAGAUUCAAGGGCCAAGCAAAAGAUUUCAGGCAGAUGGCCCAGGGCAGGACAGGAGAGCAGAGCAGGUCCGGGUUACGACCAGACGUACAGAGCAACACAGGUGGGCGAGGAAGGCGAAACCCCUCCAGAGGCCAGACAACCAAAGCUAUCUGGAGUCUGGCGACAGGGCAGCAGAGGCAGGACGCGGCUGCAGCAGCACAGAAAGUUCAGGGGGCUGUUGUGGCACAAUAGGAACUGGUGUCAGCCAGGCUGCCGGCUGAGGACCAGGCAGGACUGAUGAUGGCUCUGAGGCGCUGGGCAGUGGAGAGGACGAGCAGCAGAGAGACACUGUCGACGGAAGACAUGCUUCCUCCUGGAAAGCUUCCUAAAAAAGGUGACUCCCAUAAUAGGCAGAAAAUUAGCAGGCUGGUGGCUAGCAGGCAGGGGUGCAGGCUUGAGACUUAGAGGCUGACAGACUGAGGUGUAGACUGGAGGUAAGGCUGGAGGCCGGAAGGCGGGUUGGGGUUGACAGCUAGAACCCAGGGGCUGAGGAAGUCCAUGGCCCACUCAGGUAAGGAGUUCCUCAGCAAAGGUUUUGAGGAGACUUCUGUGCCAGCAAAAAUCACAACUGUCUCUUCCUAAUUAUCACUGGUAGCCUUCCUCCAAAAAACCUUUUUUAAAAAAAAAAAAAAAAAAAAAAAAAAAAAAAAGCACAACAGGUCCGAAUUCAAAUUAACCAGUUGAUCAGUAUGUAAGUCUGCUGGGUCCAUUGUUGGUCAUUCUGUUGCGAACAUGUCAAGCAGGGUAGCAGGCGAAACUAGGGAUUGGUCCCAAACGCAGACACUGAGGCUGAGCAGGUGCAGUUCAAUACAUUUUAUUGGUAAGGAAAAGCUUACACAGGUUACAGGCCGGCAGUGGUCGAAAACAGGGAAUAAGUCCAACAAGGUUAAACAAAUCCGACAUGGAGCAGGCAAAGUUCAAAAUCCAGAAUCCAGACACGUCCAAGAGAGACAAAGAAUAAUUCCAUCAGAACUCACAGGAAACAAAUGCCAGGACGCUUGACAAUGGUACAAUGAUGAUCCAACACAGAACAAAGGAAGAACACAGACUAAAUACACUCAGGUAAGGACGACAACGAGACACAGGUGCUACUAAUUAGGGCGGGGAAAACAAUCAAAACUGGAGGGAAAAGCAAACAAAGACAGGAAGUAAAACAACAAGACACAGAGGCGAAGAGAACACUUCAAAAUGAAACAGGAAAUAACAGGACAAAACCCCAAAACCAUGACAGGGGUGCUUUAUUUAUUUAGUUUUGCAUUUGCAAAAAGUUGGGGGACUUGCAAGAGACAGAUUUUAAAAUGAAUCGUCUAAAUCGAAGCAGCAGAGGCCAAGAUAUCCUGAAUUCUAGUCCCUAGUAUGGGUCAAACUCCAAAAAUGCUGAAUUCAUGACUCUAUCUGCCUGCUAAAUGAUCAUUUCAAAGCUCCUGCAGAGCCACAAAGACAUUAUACAACUGUUUUCACUGGCUGAGUAGUACUCCUCAUGACUGGUAAACUGAAACUGACAUGUAAAAUCAGUGGAGCUCCUCUUUAAAAAAAAAAAAAGCUAUUCUUCAGAAGUCCAUGAUGCUAGAUUGUACAAUAAUAAAAAAAACUAUAAUUAGUAUAAACAAAAUUAUAUAGGACUUUAUUGCAAGCUCAUGUUACAUUUCAAUAGUGAUCAACAAAUAUAACAAUACAUUUUCUCUGGGAGAAUAACAGUAAAAGAUCAGCUGUAAGUCUGUAAGGAUCCUUUCAGUAGGGGCCAGCAAAGGCUGGCUUAAAAAAGUUAGUCUUAAAAUAUAAACAGCAUGUUUGUAAAUACUGGACGCUAUUAAUUCUCACACUUGCAUGAUUCUAUUCUUAUUUUAAUAAAUAUGAAUGAUGGAUCUAUGUCCAGAGACCAAUACAAGACUACUCUCAGUUAUACACAUUUGUAUCUUAUGCAGCAUCUCUGUAGUUUCAGGGCAUAUGGCUGGUCUGUUUGUAAUUUCUGGAAAGUUCAAAGCAAUCUUGAAGAUCCUGUUAUUAGAGACCGCAUGUUAACGUUCCCUUGUUGCAGUCCAGUGUGCACACACGCGUAUCAAGCAUGUGCUGAAAGAGAAGUAAUUUAAGUACAAGCCAUAAGUAUUCCUUAAAAUGUAAAUCAGAUGUUCUCUGUGUGUUAGCAGGAUUUGAAAAAAAAUACUGAUUUGGGCAUGAGG